UUACAGAUAAAAACGUAAAAACCGAGAUCUUGGAGCGAAAAAAAAAUUUAUAAAUCCCGUCGAGAGAACAUCUCCCACAGAGACAGAAAGAGACACCGAGUUCUACACGGAAGAAUAUUUCAAAUCUCGAAGUACUACACGAAUCAGGUGCAACCGGAUACCUUCUUUAGGAGGUAUCUUUAAGAAGAGGGCAGUGGCGUCCUCGUGGCACAUUAGCCCGGGGGCCGCAAUCCUCGUCGGCGGCGGCCGCAUUUGUCAGAACAGCAGGGAGCACCGGCUACUGCAAGUUCUUCUGCUAUAGCUGCUCCUCUCUUCUCACGGUGGCAAACAACACGUGUUGCAACACGUUGACCUAAAACGACGGGUCAACGUUCACCAGUUCUUAUUUUUUGGGAGGUUUUUUGCAACCCCAAAUGGAAUUUUUUUUCUUCAUCACUCCCUGUGGAGAAUGAGAUUGUUAAGUUGAAAUAAAGAAUAAUUUCAUUGUAUUAAUCUUGUAAGAUAUCUUGUUAAAAAAUAAAAAAAAAAAUCUGUUUUGAAUAAUAAAUUA